UACGUAGGGUGCAAGCGUUAAUCGGAAUUACUGGGCGUAAAGCGUGCGCAGGCGGUUUUGUAAGUCUGUCGUGAAAGCCCCGGGCUCAACCUGGGAAUUGCGAUGGAGACUGCAAGGCUUGAAUCUGGCAGAGGGGGGUAGAAUUCCACGUGUAGCAGUGAAACGCGUAGAGAUGUGGAGGAACACCGAUGGCGAAGGCAGCCCCCUGGGUCAAGAUUGACGCUCAUGCACGAAAGCGUGGGGAGCAAACAGG
rnacentral:rRNA from 1 species